AGGGGUGUAGCUCAGUUGGUAGAGCAUCGGUCUCCAAAACCGAGGGCCUGCGGUUCGAGUCCGCACACCCCUG
rfam:Porphyrobacter sp. AAP60 AAP60_Contigs_8, whole genome shotgun sequence.